rnacentral:rRNA from 1 species
AUUGAACGCUGGCGGCAGGCCUAACACAUGCAAGUCGAACGGCAGCACAGAAGAGCUUGCUCUUUGGGUGGCGAGUGGCGGACGGGUGAGAAAUGUCUGGGAAACUGCCCGAUGGAGGGGGAUAACUACUGGAAACGGUAGCUAAUACCGCAUAACGUCGCGAGACCAAAGUGGGGGACCUUCGGGCCUCACACCAUCGGAUGUGCCCAGAUGGGAUUAGCUAGUAGGUGGGGUAAUGGCUCACCUAGGCGACGAUCCCUAGCUGGUCUGAGAGGAUGACCAGCCACACUGGAACUGAGACACGGUCCAGACUCCUACGGGAGGCAGCAGUGGGGAAUAUUGCACAAUGGGCGCAAGCCUGAUGCAGCCAUGCCGCGUGUAUGAAGAAGGUCUUCGGGUUGUAAAGUACUUUCAGCGGGGAGGAAGGCGGUGAGGUUAAUAACCUCGCCGAUUGACGUUACCCGCAGAAGAAGCACCGGCUAACUCCGUGCCAGCCGCCGCGGUAA